GAUGAACGCUGGCGGCGUGCCUAAUACAUACAAGUCGAGCGAACGGACGAGAAGCUUGCUUCUCUGAUGUUAGCGGCGGACGGGUGAGUAACACGUGGAUAACCUACCUAUAAGACUGGGAUAACUUCGGGAAACCGGAGCUAAUACCGGAUAAUAUUUUGAACCGCAUGGUUCAAAAGUGGAAGACGGUCUUGCUGUCACUUAUAGAUGGAUCCGCGCUGCAUUAGCUAGUUGGUAAGGUAACGGCUUACCAAGGCAACGAUGCAUAGCCGACCUGAGAGGGUGAUCGGCCACACUGGAACUGAGACACGGUCCAGACUCCUACGGGAGGCAGCAGUAGGGAAUCUUCCGCAAUGGGCGAAAGCCUGACGGAGCAACGCCGCGUGAGUGAUGAAGGUCUUCGGAUCGUAAAACUCUGUUAUUAGGGAAGAACAUAUGUGUAAGUAACUGUGCACAUCUUGACGGUACCUAAUCAGAAAGCCACGGCUAACUACGUG
rnacentral:rRNA from 1 species